CCUGCCCUAGAAGCAUUGCAGCUGUCGCAUGCUUUUCAUUGCCGUGUCGCAUGUGUAUCAGUGGGGCAGAGAGUGGAGAGGCUAAGUCUACACGCAGUGUCUGAGCUGUGAACAUCUGAAUAUCAGUAGCCUACCAUU